rnacentral:rRNA from 1 species
UUUGAAAUCUGGCCCCCCGCGGGCCCGAGUUGUACUUUGGAGAGGACGCUUCUGGCGCGGCGCCGUCCGAGUUCCCUGGAACGGGACGCCGGAGAGGGUGAGAGCCCCGUACGGGCGGCCGCCUAGCCUCUGCGAAGCUCCUUCGACGAGUCGAGUAGUUUGGGAAUGCUGCUCAAAAUGGGAGGUAAAUUUCUUCUAAAGCUAAAUACCGGCCAGAGACCGAUAGCGCACAAGUAGAGUGAUCGAAAGAUGAAAAGCACUUUGAAAAGAGGGUCAAACAGUACGUGAAAUUGUUGAAAGGGAAGCGCCUGUGGCCAGACUUGCGCCCCGCGGACCACCCGGCGCCUCGCGCGCCGGGGCACGCCAGCGGGGCGCAGGCCAGCAUCGGCUCUCUCGGGGGGACAAAGGCCGCGGGAACGUAGCGCCCUCGCGGCGUAUUAUAGCCCGCGGCGCCAUGCCCCCGGGGGGGCCGAGGACCGCGCUCCGGCAAGGAUGCUGGCGUAAUGGCCACCGGCGACCCGUCUUGAAACACGGACCAAGGAGUCAAGCAUUGGGGCGAGUGUCUGGGUGGCAAGCCCGCACGCGGAAUGAAAGUGAACGCAGGUGGGAGCUUCGGCGCACCACCGACCGAUCCUGAUGUCCUCGGAUGGAUUUGAGUAGGAGCCCCGCCGCUUGGACCCGAAAGAUGGUGAACUAUGCCUGUAUAGGGUGAAGCCAGAGGAAACUCUGGUGGAGGCCCGCAGCGGUUCUGACGUGCAA